rnacentral:rRNA from 1 species
UACGUAGGGGGCAAGCGUUGUCCGGAUUUACUGGGCGUAAAGAGCGUGUGGGCGGCCAAGCAGGUCCGUUGUGAAAACUGGAGGCUUAACCUCCAGACGUCGACGGAAACCGCGUGGCUAGAGUCCGGAAGAGGAGAGUGGAAUUCCUGGUGUAGCGGUGAAAUGCGCAGAUAUCAGGAAGAACACCAAUGGCGAAGGCAGCUCUCUGGGACGGUACUGACGCUGAGACGCGAAAGCGUGGGGAGCGAACAGG